CAGGGGAAUCUCUAAGAAAACUGUGGUAACAAACAUAAUGGAAUACCAUGAAUUGCUGGAGGCCAGCACCUGGUAGUGGGCCCCUAACCCCGUGAGAUUACCACACCCCAAGCAGCUUGUUCCGGGACAAACCGUACCAUAACGUGUUCCUGUCAGGGCUAACCGCAAGAUGUCGCCACACCGCCCCUGGAAAGUCCCGGAGGCCCAUUUUCCCCUUUUGCCCCUCCCCGCUUUUGCCCUAUAUAAGCUUGUAACGCUCAAAAAUAAAAUUAGACCUUGCCUACCAUCCUUUUGGUCUCACUCCUCCUUUUCACCCAUUCCCUUCAGCCAGGGUCCUCCUCGACCCCCCACGUAUACUGGCCCUGCAGGUCGGGGCAAGUGGCGCCCAACGUGGGGCUCGAGGUUCGGACUUCUGCCAGGCGGACCAGCAUUGAGAAACGAUUCGUCGCGACCCCCUCCUUCUCAUCGCUCAUGAAGAGCCCCUGCGUUUUGAAAAUGACGAUCCUCGUAAUUUUCCUCCUGUUCCGUGGGAGCCACGGUGGUUUUCAAUCUCCUGACCCAGUAGCGCUCAGCCGUGCCCUCUUUGGAAGCCCUUGUGACUGCGGCGGGGGCACGUUCACUGUCCGUCCCGCCACCUACACGCAAGAAGUGGACUGCGGGGAAAAGACAGCCUACCUCGCCUACCGUCAUUCUAUCACGGGCGUCUCCAAACCCAAGUGGGAAUGCGUAAGGAAGCCCCGAGUUAUCCCUCCGAAUGGUGGCCAGCCCGGGCCUUGCCCCAGUGAUUGCAACUACCUUGAGGCCUUGCACUCCACAUGCUAUAGUUCUACCCAGCAGUGCAGUGGCAGCUCAGGAACAGUCUAUCUUACUACAAUACAGGAAAGAGAAUAUGGUGGCUCCACAGGAGGGGACUGGGCGCAUAUAACUAGCCAAGGCCUACGUGGAAGUACCAAUAAGUAUGCUCAGGCUUCCUGUCGUAAAGAAAAUAUUGGAAAAAAUGUCUGUUGGCCCCUUCAUGCACCUGUCCAUAUCUCUGAUGGGGGUGGCCCUACAGACCAAAUUAGGGAACAUGAGGUUAGGGGAACGGACCUAGAUGUCCAAACUUCAGAAAUCCUUGAAGCAACACUUAAGGCCCUUAAUUACUCUAACCCUGAUUUGGCUGCCGAUUGCUGGCUGUGUAUGGCCCUUGGCACACCUAUGCCCAUAGCUUUGAUGUCCAAAAAUGGCUCCACAUCCACAAAUUGCACACUUAGUCCACCUUUUAAGGUACAACCUGUUGGUCUCCGCCCCUCUCCUUGUAUCCAAGCCCCAUUUCAGAAUUCCACUGCUGAUAUUGAUGUUGGUUUGCUACCUUUGCUAAUUGCUCUGAAGUCAAAAACUAUACCUCACAGGAACCUCUCUGUCCCCUGCCGGGACAACUUUUCGCCUGUGGGGGAAAUAUGGCCUACUCUGCUCUCCCCCAGAAUUGGACAGGACUCUGCACACAAAUUUCAAUCCUCCCUGAUAUCGACAUCAUUCCGGGAGAUGAGCCUGUCCCACUGCCCAGUUUUGAUUAUAUUACUGGAAGACCCAAGAGGGCUGUUGCAUUUAUCCCCCUCCUUGUUGGCCUUGGGAUUACAGGGGCACUCGCUACCGGCUCUGCCGGCAUAGGAGUUGCUGUUGAUUCAUAUACAAAACUAUCCCAUCAAUUUCUUAAUGAUGUGCAAACCCUCUCGGGGACGAUAAAUGACCUUCAAGACCAAAUUGACUCCCUGGCGGGAGUCGUUCUUCAGAAUAGGAGGGGCCUAGAUUUACUCACGGCAGAACAAGGGGGAAUUUGCUUAGCCCUACAAGAAAAAUGUUGCUUCUAUGCAAAUAAAUCUGGGAUAGUGCGGGAUAAAAUCA
rnacentral:lncRNA from 1 species